UAUCUCUAUGUUAUAUCAAUGUUUAAAUACCAACUUUAACUGGUUAAUUAACAAUAUUACAUUUAAAUAAGAAUCGUACACAGCAACAAAAAAAAUUAAUUUCUGGCAAACCACUUAGUCUGAAAAGUAAAACAUUUUCGUUCACGGUGUGGUUCAGCUUGUCAGACGUAUGACCACUGAACAAGAUCAAUAACCAAAGAGCAUGAAAAUGGGCAAAUUAUUG